rnacentral:miRNA from 1 species
CCUCCACCCGCCCUCCCUCC